CGUGUGGUGGUUUAGUGGUAAAAUUGGUGCUUGCCAUUUUCACUUCGGUGGGACAUUGGAGGAGCUGCACUAGCCCCGGGUUCGAUUCCCGGCCACGCGA